rnacentral:rRNA from 1 species
AGAAUCAACGCUGGCGGCGUGCCUAACACAUGCAAGUCGAACGAGAAAGUGGAGCAAUCCAUGAGUAAAGUGGCGACCGGGUGAGUAACACGUGACUAACCUACCUUCAAGUGGGGGAUAACCUCGGGAAACCGGGGCUAAUACCGCAUAACAUCUUUGGAGUGGAAAUUCUGGAGAUCAAAGGAGCAAUUCGCUGGAAGAGGGGGUCGCGGCUGAUUAGCUAGUUGGCGGGGUAAUGGCCCACCAAGGCUUUGAUCGGUAGCCGGCCUGAGAGGGCGCACGGCCACACUGGAACUGAAACACGGUCCAGACUCCUACGGGAGGCAGCAGUGGGGAAUUUUGCGCAAUGGGGGAAACCCUGACGCAGCAACGCCGCGUGGAGGAUGAAGUCCCUUGGGACGUAAACUCCUUUCGACCGGGAAGAUGAUGACGGUACCGGUGGAAGAAGCCCCGGCUAACUUCGUGCCAGCAGCCGC